GAGGAUCCAAACCAGGGCAGAGAGUCCACGUCCACAUCAAACCUCCGGUCUCCAUCGUCCUCGUCGUCCCCUCUGACCUCCGCUCUCUCCAGUCGAGGCCCCGGGGCAUGCUGGGUGCUGAGCGCUCAUGGCGAGGGCGAAGGUGGCGUUGCGUAGCGUGGAUCCCGGCCGCAGGACGUUCCUCUCCACCAGCCGGUUCAGACCAGGAUCCAGAGUCACCUGAAGCCGGCAGUCGCCAUCCGUCAGUGUGACGUCGUACAGGUCUUCACCUGGAGUGGACAGGGACAAUGAGGACGACAGGGACGGGUCAGAUGGAGGGAAACCGACCUUUUGAGUCAUAUUCUGUGUGAUGUUACUUCAUCCAUGCUUUAAAACAGCCUCCUCUCCUGUCACCAGGUUGGUUGUUGUCAGAGACUCUUGACUCUGUGUUGCCCUCUAGUGGAUGUACGGUAUUACAACCUGGCGAAUGUGGGCAGGGACGGAAUCGGACAUGUGUCUCUCUGUCAACGAGCCAGUACAACGGGUUUUAUUCUGUGUGGUCUCACCGCUGAGCACCGCCUGGGGGAAGUAGACGGACGAGCCCUGGUCUCUGCUGUAGCGCUGCAGGUCCACCACGGACAGGAAGUCCCUGCAGACGGCGGGAGAGGACGAGGACUCCUGCGACACAAGACGAGGACAGAUCAACAAAACACGAAACGAUCCGUGAACAAGGAGGAGACGGUGUGAAGCUGCUGACGUCGACAAUCAUGUGGAAAGAUGUGGAUUUAUUACACAUGUAACACACAUGUCACAAACAUGUUAUAGGAAAACAGGAUCUGACCUGGUUUGAUCCGGACCUGGACCGGGACCGGGUUAGGGUUCUGUGGAGUACGCAGCCCGCCGCCGCCAUGUUGGACAGACGGGAUCAACAAUAACAGUGCGGUGCAUUGUGGGAUUUCUCCUUCAAAUAACAUCAAAUCAAAAUGUUUAAUGUUAAAUCAAUUAUAUCUUUCUUCUUUUAUUUUUUCUAAACCAGUUUAAUAAAGAUAUGUUACAUUUAUGUAAAUAUGUUCAUGUUAUUCUCAUCAUUUUAAACUGAACCUUAAUGACAUUAAACAUGAAUAAACUAU